GUCCUUGCAGUACCAAUAUAUUCGGAAAUAACUUGCCAUCUUCAAGAGGUUCCUAUAGGAUAUUUCAGCAUCCCCUUUCUCAGAAGAUCAAUUUCUUUUUUGCUCCAAGGUUUCUCCCUUUUCUCACUGCUCAUCGGAUGAACUUGUCUUUUACCCUCCAGAGAACCAUUUUGCCGCAACUUACUAUUUCCAUCUUUAUUCUCAUAAUUCGAGUUGUGUUCAGGUCCAAGUGUGAUACAAGUAUGAUUGUGAUUGUGGACCAAUACGUAAAGACUCGAGCUCGGGUGGCUGCCCAACCAAUGGAACAAGCUUUGAAGUGUAGAGAACAAGUACCAACACUCCAAAGCCGUCCAAUAUGCACACUCGAAGGCCGCCCCUUUGUCUUGGUUCAUUA
rnacentral:lncRNA from 1 species